AUUGAACGCUGGCGGCAGGCCUAACACAUGCAAGUCGAACGAGUGGCGGACGGGUGAGUAAUGUCUGGGAAACUGCCCGAUGGAGGGGGAUAACUACUGGAAACGGUAGCUAAUACCGCAUACCAUCGGAUGUGCCCAUAUGGGAUUAGCUAGUAGGUGGGGUAACGGCUCACCUAGGCGACGAUCCCUAGCUGGUCUGAGAGGAUGACCGGCCACACUGGAACUGAGACACGGCCCAGACUCCUACGGGAGGCAGCAGUGGGGAAUAUUGCACAAUGGGCGCAAGCCUGAUGCAGCCAUGCCGCGUGUAUGAAGAAGGCCUUCGGGUUGUAAAGUACUUUCAGCGAGGAGGCGUUACCCGCAGAAGAAGCACCGGCUAACUCCGUGCCAGCCGCCGCGGUAAUAC
rnacentral:rRNA from 1 species